ensembl:lncRNA
UGCUCCUGUCCCUGUAUCCCUGUCCUGUCCCCGGUGCUCCUGUCCCUGUAUCCCUCUCUUGUCCCUGGUGCUCCUGUCCCUGUAACCCUGUCCUGUCCCUGGUGCUCCUGUCCCUGUAUCUGUCCUGUCCCUGCUGCCCCUGUCCCUGUAUCCCUGUCCUGUCCCUGGUGCUCCUGUCCCUGUAUCUGUCCUGUCCCCGGUGCUCCUGUCCCUGUAACCCUGUCCUGUCCCCGGUGCUCCUGUCCCUGUAUCCCUGUCCUGUCCUUGGUGCCCCUGUCCCUCUAUCCCUCUCUUGUCCCUGGUGCUUCUGUCCCUGUAUCCCUGUCCUGUCCUUGGUGCUCCUGUCCCUGUAUCCCUCUCUUGUCCCUGGUGCUCCUGUCCCUGUAUCCCUGUUCUGUCCCUGCUGCCCCUGUCCCUGUCCUGGUGUCCCCGUCCUGUCCCUGUCCUGGUGUCCCCGUCCUAUCCCUGUCCCGGUGUCCCCGUCCUGGUGUCCCUGUCCUGUCCCUGUCCCGGUGUCCCCGUCCUGUCCCCGUGGGCAGUUCGGUUCGUGUGAGCAGCUCCUCUGUGUCCCCUCCCUGCCCUGUGGGCUCUGAACACGGCAGCACAAACAAAACUUCCGAGUUUGUUCCAAGUGUUUGUUUAAGUCUCCCAUCCCAAAUAAAUUCACCUUGUUGAAUGAAACCAGAGCGAAGGUGUUUUAAUUUUAACCCACCAGAAGCUACACGGAGGUGUAAAGUGUUGUGUAAAGGGAUGGAGCAGCUGGAAUAGCUUGGUGCACCAGGGUGGUGUCCUCUGGUCUCAGCAAAGAGAUUUGGGGAAGAAUAUUAAAAAUUAUCCUUUUUACUUGCCAGUGCCAGUGUUUGUGGUCUCAUCUCUCACUGCAGGCAGCAGUAUGGAAUAUAUCAGUUGUGUGCUUGGGAUAAGUCAACAAUGAAGAGCAAAAACUCUUUUUUUUUGGUGUUAAUUUUGUUCAGCUACAAGAGCUUUAUCACAGGAUGGACAUUUCAGCCACCAAAAGAAUAACAAUUUUGUUGUUAUUUAGCAAAAUAUUUUCCUUACUGAUCUGUGCUUUCACUGCUCACUUCCUACAGUGCCUGAACUUUCCAUCAAGUUUAAUGUUAAAUGUAUUUAUUAUUCUAAGUAAAAAGGUGUUUUCUGCCAGCAACACCCUUUGUGCUGCUCAGAGAUCAGCUCUCACUGUCCUGUGCCCACCUCCCUGUUUCCUGGUCACUCUUUGUGUCCCAGUGAGCUAAAUUCAAAUUCUCAGUGCCCUGAAUUUGGGGCAAGCAAUCAGAAAGCAAUUUUAUGGAAUGUUUCCCUUAAGCUCUUGGGGAAAGAGUGAGGUCUGAGCUGAACUGAAAUCCUGAGAGGGGCAAAACGUGAAGUGUGGGAGCUUUGGCCACCUUAAAUAUUGGGGAAGUGGCUGCUGACUGGAACGGUGCUGUGGCCACGAGGCUGCUGCUGCCUCCUGAGCUCUGCAGGAGUGUUUGGAGCCUCCUGGCACGCCGUGAAUCCCUGCUGGUGGUCAUUUCAGAGCUAAAUCCCCUCUGAGGGACAUCUCAGAGCUGGAUCCCCUCUGAGGGACAUUUUGGGGCUGGAUCCCCUCUGAGGGACAUUUUGGGGCUGGAUCCCCUCUGAGGGACAUUUCAGAGCUGAAUCCCCUCUGAGGGACAUU